AAGUCGUAACAAGGUCUCCGUAGGUGAACCUGCGGAGGGAUCAUUAACACAUGAAAGACACGAGAUUGCACAUGAAAAUGAGGCAAACUCGCGUUCUUUUGUUUUCCCUAUACACCCAUCUAACGUGAACUAGUAUGCCCUAUUUUUUCUAGCAUGAUUUUCGAAUCUGCUGGUUGUUUGCUAUUUUUAUGCAAAACCUUUUCCAAUCUUGUAAUUGAACAGUGUUCUUGUUUUGUACUAGUGUUUCACUAGUAUGAACUAGCAUGUUUUAUCUAACAUUAUAGAGUACAACUCUUAGCAACGGAUAUCUUGGUUCUC
rnacentral:misc_RNA from 1 species